rnacentral:rRNA from 1 species
UACGGGGGGAGCAAGCGUUGUUCGGAUUUACUGGGCGUAAAGGGCGCGUAGGCGGCCAGCACAAGUCAGUUGUGAAAUCUCCGAGCUUAACUCGGAAAGGUCAACUGAUACUGUGCGGCUAGAGUGCAGAAGGGGCAACUGGAAUUCUUGGUGUAGCGGUGAAAUGCGCAGAUAUCAGGAGGAACACCGGUGGCGAAGGCGGAUCUCUGGGCCGAUACUGACGCUGAGGAGCGAAAGCGUGGGGAGCGAACAGG